rnacentral:rRNA from 1 species
GCCAGACUCCUACGGGAGGCAGCAGUGGGGAAUAUUGCACAAUGGGGGGAACCCUGAUGCAGCGACGCCGCGUGAGUGAAGAAGUAUUUCGGUAUGUAAAGCUCUAUCAGCAGGGAAGAAAGAAAUGACGGUACCUGACUAAGAAGCCCCGGCUAACUACGUGCCAGCAGCCGCGGUAAUACGUAGGGGGCAAGCGUUAUCCGGAUUUACUGGGUGUAAAGGGAGCGUAGACGGCGAUGCAAGUCUGAAGUGAAAGGCGGGGGCCCAACCCCCGGACUGCUUUGGAAACUGUAUGGCUGGAGUGCAGGAGAGGUAAGUGGAAUUCCUAGUGUAGCGGUGAAAUGCGUAGAUAUUAGGAGGAACACCGGCGGCGAAGGCGGCCUGCUGGACCGCGACUGACGUUGAGGCUCGAAAGCGUGGGGAGCGAACAGGAUUAGAUACCCGUGUAAA